rnacentral:misc_RNA from 1 species
GAUGAAGAACGCAGCGAAAUGCGAUAAGUAAUGUGAAUUGCAGAAUUCAGUGAAUCAUCGAAUCUUUGAACGCACAUUGCGCCCGCUAGUAUUCUGGCGGGCAUGCCUGUCCGAGCGUCAUUUCAACCCUCAAGCCCCCGGGCUUGGUGUUGGGGAUCGGCGAGCCUCCGCGCCCGCCGUCCCCUAAAUCUAGUGGCGGUCUCGCUGUAGCUUCCUCUGCGUAGUCGCACACCUCGCACUGGGAAACAGCGCGGCCACGCCGUUAAACCCCCAACUUCUGAACGUUUGACCUCGGAUCAGGUAGGAAUACCCGCUGAACUUAAGCAUAUCAAUAAGCGGAGGA